rnacentral:rRNA from 2 species
AUGGAUCAAAUCUUCCUGAAGCGACUCGUUAGGCAAAA